UACGUAGGGUCCGAGCGUUGUCCGGAAUUACUGGGCGUAAAGCGCACGUAGGCGGCUUUGUAAGUUAGAGGUGAAAGCCCAGGGCUUAACCCUGGAAUUGCCUUUAAGACUGCAUCGCUAGAAUCGUGGAGAGGUGAGUGGAAUUCCGAGUGUAGAGGUGAAAUGCGCAGAUAUCAGGAAGAACACCUAUGGCGAAGGCAGCUCUCUGGGACGGUA
rnacentral:rRNA from 1 species